GGAACAAUAUCCUGGUGCUGAUGAGUGUGACGAGGAAAACUCCAGCAUCAGUGAUUUUGUUGCCAGAGGAGCGUCACAACCACUAUGACCAUCCUCUCAGCACAACAUAGUGCUGAUGAUCAUUCUGCAUAUAAACCAAGACACAUAAAUAAUAGCUUCGUCCACAUCAUCCAUACAGAUAACAGAAAGAAGCUUCCUUUUACAUGACCACUAGUGGGCACUACAGUACUUAUGCUGUACUCUCACUGAUGGUCUCAAGAGGGCAUCGAUGUUCACUACAAAACUGUGUUUUAGCACCCUUAAUAAUGUCUAUUCUUUACAGUCUGAUGGGAUGCUUUCCUGAUAUGCAUAUUGGCUGCAUUUCAUACAAUGCAUCUGUCCUUUUAUUAACUAGCAUUCUGUGUUGGCUCAAGUUUUGAGCUAUGAUAUUUCACCAUUGUGCAUUAAGACCCCAUUUAGCCUAUGAAUUUCACAUUUUAAAUGAAACUAUGAGAUUGUAAAUACCAGUUCUUCCAGUAAUAUAAAAAUAAAUAAUGUGUGGGAAACACUCUGAUCAGCCAUAACAUUAAAUCCACUUGUCUAAUAUUGUGUCAGUCAUCUUUUGUGUCAUCAGAUCAGCUCGGAUCCACUGAGGGAGGCAUGGAAUUUACAAAACCUCCGAAGGUGUGCUGUGGUAUAUGGCACCAAGAUGUAACCAGCAGUCCUUCACGUUCUUCUGCCACCUGAGCUGUGGAUCGCUUCAGUUUCUUCAGUGUUUAUUUGGGCCGCUUGGAGUAGAUUCAUGACAUAUAAUCCCAAUUAAAUCUAUUUCAGUUCCAGGUCAUAUACAGGACUACUGCUACAAAGUUUGCUAAUAAAUUAAUCAGAGGGCGUGGGGAGUUGGAAGAAGUGGAAGCUAAAGACACCUGUUAGGCAAAGAGAUGUUAAUCCACAUGAUAGAAGCACAUGAGAUUAGGUCUGCCUGCCCAGAAAGCCUCUAUGUUCACACACUGAUGAUGACGAUGUAUGUGUGUGUGUGUGUGUGUGUGUGUGUGUGUGUGUGUGUGUGUGUGUGAUGUGUGUGUAUGUGAUCAAUUCUCCACUCACUUCUCUCUGAAGAGGCAUCAUAAAAUCUUUAUCUUCUAGUACAGAUUCUUUUUAGGCAUAUGUA